AAGUCAAGCGCAUAUAUUAUUAUAUUGUGCAUAUAAUAAGCAGAAUGUUUUUCCCCAUAAAAUGUAAAUCUAUCUGAGGAAAACAGUGAUCUUCUUGCAAAAAAAUCAAGCCCAGGAAAGCAAACCCAACACAACUGUUAGGAAACGUAUCACAAACUCUUGUUUUUUUAAAGACUGGCAAGUUUUUGAUGACCUGUUAGGAUGAAAAAAUUCAAUCUAAUUCACAAUUCCAAGUCCUGCUUUAGGAUUCAAAGUGCCCAUCGUUAUUGCAUUAACGCAGAAGAGCAAAACCCAAACUGAUGCAGUUAAUGCUUCUGAUCAUCAUAUAACUUAUUUUUCUACCUAAUGCAUCCUGCAAACUAGAACACAGUGGUAAGUGUCAUUUCAGCCCUUCAUUGGCUAACAAACAAAAACUUUUAAAACAGAUCUUUUUGAUUCCCUGAAAAAGAAUAAAACAUGUGUUUUAUCCAAACCAUUGUGUCCACAGGGGGAAAAGGGAAAGAAAGGCAAAAAGGGGCCUAAAGGGGAGAAAGGAGAACAGGGUGCCCCUGGAUUAGAUGCACCUUGUCCAUUGGGGCCAGAUGGGUUACCAAUGCCUGGUUGCUGGCAAAAGUGAUGAAUCUAACUUUGAAAGCAUGAAGUUGUGUAUAUAAUACAUCACCCCCAGUAUUUAUAAUUGAAAAUGGAAGCAUUGGUUUUACAAGUUUGAAAUAUGUUUACAUAGCACUGCUUCUAUUUGUUUGUAGUAGUCAUGUGUAUAUAUGGCUGCAAUCUGGCAAAUAUAAACUGUGCAAUAAAUGUACAGAAUCCAAAUAUUCUGUCUACAGAGCUAAUUCCAAUAGAGUGAUCAUUCAUAGACAUUUGAAUUGUUUCUGUAGUUUUCCUUUUUUACAUUUUGGGAUUUUUUUUAACUUUUAUUUUUUGGUUGGAUACUUGUUUUAUUUGGCUUGUGGACAAGCAUUGAGAAGAAGUGCCAUGAACUAGGUUACAUUAAUUUGCGUGGCCACAAAUGAACUUGAUAAUAGAUUGCCAUUGGAAUAUAAUGAUUCUGUUGCCAUGUUCAUCCUCAUAAACUCUAUCACUGCUCCAUUUCCCCAAACUUGCUUGAGCAAAAGCAUGAUUUGUGUGCUAAAACAGCUUGUUGUGCUACAAUGGUUGCUUGCUGUCAUAUGCGAUAAUGGCUGCUUGCUGCCAAUUUCACUUGACACAUUGAAUUGUUCUUUCUGUCAUCUCAAGGGAGUCACGCCAUGGCUUAUUGCAAAAAAAUGAUACAAGGAGAUUAAGACAAAGCUCUUGAAUUUGGAGGGAACUUCGGUUCCUUCUGACGGUGGAUGGCCUUCAGUCUUCUGGGUUAUGAAACCAUCUUUGUGAAAAAGAAGGAUGAUACCUGUUCAUCAGCAUCUCUUUGCUUGCAUUGCUCACAGUCAAGAAGCAUGGAUUUCAACACAUGUUGGAUAGUUUUACCAAGAAUGAAAGAAGAUGAAGAUCAUGCUUUAUGAGUAAGAUGAUUGAGUUGCAGAGCCAUCAAAUGGAUCAUUCAAUGAUAGGUCUUAGUAUCAACUGGUGGACAAUGUAAUCUUCAAAGACUGCUACAAUAUGUGUUUCACAUGUUGUAUUUUCAAGGUGAUCUAGAGGAAGUGCUUUGACAAAAGUCACCAUAAAAUGCCUUCCUCUCAAAUAAUGAAAUGCGGUUAACUUUUCAUGGUUUACCAUUUGGAUUUUAGAAAUUCCUGUGCCAAUGGCAUAUGCGUGUAUGGGCUUGGAGAAUAUAUUUAAUUAUAAUUGAUCAAUGGUUAAAGCAAAUAGCCUCCUUUACUUUCAUGCUUAUAGACAUUCAAGUUUUGAAGAACAUAUUUGUGUUUAAUUUUUUUCAGCAUUGGUUUUUUUUAGUCAUAUAUAAGGACUUCUCCAAAAGUAAAGGUUUUUUUAAUUUGUUUACCUAUUUGGUUUUUUUUAAAAUUUUCUACAUCAUUGUUGGGAUUCCAGGACCCAAAUAAUAUGGAAUUGGUAGGAGCUACAGUAUAAGCUACUUUGUGUCUCAAAUAUAUUGCUAUUUUCAUCUUAUUAUUUUUUAAAAAAUAUUUCAUGCCUCUGUUUUGAACCCUUCAAUUUAAUAUGUUUAUAUUUAUGCUUAUAUUCUAAUGUGUGCUUGCAGGCAUUCUAAGAAGAUAAUUAAUGUUGCUAAUUAUUUUGCUGGGGGAGGGGAAAAUACUGUUAUUGUUGGUCAUUACAUAUAGUCAUUACAUUUGAUGAAUAUUCUGUAACUUUUUAAAGGUUUGACCAAAUAAGAAAUUCCAUACACUUUCAAAAUAGUCAGUGGAAUAUUUUAAAAUUGGAUUAACAAAUAAACAUCCAUUGUUGAAAAACUACAUUUUCAUCAGCUUGUAAAUGGGAUUAUGUUUAUCACCGUACCAAAUAUUAGAUAAAUCUCAGUACUAUUUUAGACCCUUAGUGUAUCCCUUACUUACUUUUUUAAUUUAAUUUUUUAUUUACAGACCAUUUGUACACUGCCCAGAAUC